UCUGUGUUGGAUUUAAUUUGCUUCCUCGGUUUAAAAUUAUAUAUAUAGAUAGAUAGAGAUCUGUCUAUCUAUCUAUCUAUCUAUCUAUCUAUCUAUCUAUCUAUCUAUCUAUCUUCUAUAGUUAGUUCUGUAUCUUUCUGUAACCUCUUCCUGUUGUCUUAAAUACGCUUUAACCAACGAAAAAGUUUUUCCACAUUUUUUACAGAAGCACAACAUAUUGACAGUACAUAAAUAUUGUGUUCAACUUUUUCAUUUUGUUUACAUAGGCAUCGUCAUGUGAUCAUCACCUAAGAACUAGAACAUCAGCAGGCCCUAGAAGCCUCACUCUUGCCCCUCCCUUUAAUAUCUCAAAGGAUGACACUUCUGUGGUGUGUAGUGAGUCUCUACUUUUAUGGAAUCCUGCAAAGUGAUGCCUCAGGUAAGUGAAUGGCUUUUGACAAUGUAUUAAAAUGCAAGUCAUGCGUAGGGUAAUGAGUCCACUCU
rnacentral:lncRNA from 10 species